UGGGAAUGUUAACCUUCACUUCAAGGUGAGAGAAAAUAAAGCUGUAUUUUUUCCUCAUCCAAAUUCACAGACUCCCAGAAAUCUGUGCCCAGAGUCCCUGGACCCCAAGUUAAGAACAUGUGCUCAAGGAAUGGAAGGCAAACAGAGACACCUUACUUGCUGAUCACAGAGCAUGUGGAUCCAGCCUUCUGGAAGCUAAACGGUAUCCCAGGAAAUUUUACAAGAUACCCAGAAGUGGAUGGGGUUAAGGAUGUCCAGUUUCUGGUUCCCAGGACCUGAUCAGCUCAAAUGCUAAAUGAAGAGCUCAGAAAGAGGACCUAAGAAGGGGCUUUCUGAUGGGCAUCCAUGAAUCACUGGCAGCGUGUUUCGACAAGCCGGCCCAGGUCCUCCUUGCCAUCAGAUGAGUCAUCACCGUGGGGCAAGUGGAUGGUCGCUCAGGAAGAUCAGACUCCAGUCUCCCUCUCCUCUGCCUGGCCUUGGCCAACGAAAUAGCCUUCACCCACCUUCAUCUGGGCCCAUUGGGAGGCUCUUGACCCAAGUCUAUCAAAUUUAAACCAACAAAGAAGAUGGCAAAAGCCCUUCUUUCCAGGAGGUUGAGCUAUAGUUUGAGUAUUUUAACAGAGAUUCUCAAGAUAGGAUUGUCGUCGUGGCCAGCAUCCCCUGGAUCCCCAGUGGUGACUCGAUUUGCGGCAGGUAUGAGAAUUGCUGCGGUUGAUGACACGAUCUUGGAGAAGAGUAAGUUGGUCUUGCUCACCAUUGCACCUUCGAAGCUGACACAGGGACAUGCAGAGAGAAAAUGAAUCAGCAUUCAUGGCUAUCCUCCUAAUUAAGCAGGACUUUGGACUGUGACUAAUUCAGCCUAUUUCACACUCAACAAAUACCUCUUGAAUGCUUACCUUGGAACAAGCCUCUGAUGAUGACAAUGAUGAUGAUGAUGAUAAUGAUGUUAGUGCUAAUAAUUAUAAAAAAUAUAGUAUCCACAUGGUAAUUUGUAAAGUUCACUUACACCUACCCCCCUUGCUCCAUGACCUGAGGUUGGUAUCAUCAUUCCCACUGAACCAAAAAGGGAACCCAAGGUCCAGCAGUCAGUGAAGGCCACAAGACAGGGAGGGCCAGAGCUCGAGUGGGAACCAGAUCUUUGUUCCCCAAUCCCAUUCUCUUUCUUCUUAUGACUUUUCAGGGCACCCAAUCCUGGACAACUCUUGCUGGCCUCACUCAUACCUGGAUCAGUCCCACUGGAUGAGAAGUUGUGGGUUUUGAAGGCUUCUGUGGAGCAAGAUGAGGAGUUGAUCUCUCAACACCUCUCUAAGACAAUGUUUAUUAGAGAAUUUACUCAGAGAUGAAAAGACCAUAUGAGUUCCCUCUCAAAUCUGUCACUUAGUAGCUGUGUGACCCUAGGUCAGUGAUCUAAAGUUUCUGUGGCUUAAUAAUGCAUCUUUAAAGUACAAUUGUGAAUAUUGCAUGAAUGUAUUAUAAAGCACUUGGAACUGUACCCAUAUAUGUAUUAGCCAUAUGAACAGUCAUACUUUAUGUUCUUUGUUCCCCUAUGCCCUGUUAUUCUCACUAUCCUAGAACUC
rnacentral:lncRNA from 1 species